GAUGAACGCUGGCGGCGUGCUUAACACAUGCAAGUCGAGCGAGAGAGUUCUUCGGAACAAUCUAGCGGCGGACGGGUGAGUAACACGUGGGCAACCUGCCUCAUAGAGGGGAAUAGCCUUCCGAAAGGAAGAUUAAUACCGCAUAACAUCGUUGAAGGGCAUCCUUCGAUGAUCAAAGGAGCAAUCCGCUAUGAGAUGGGCCCGCGGCGCAUUAGCUAGUUGGUGAGGUAACGGCUCACCAAGGCGACGAUGCGUAGCCGACCUGAGAGGGUGAUCGGCCACAUUGGGACUGAGACACGGCCCAGACUCCUACGGGAGGCAGCAGUGGGGAAUAUUGCACAAUGGGGGAAACCCUGAUGCAGCAACGCCGCGUGAGUGAUGACGGCCUUCGGGUUGUAAAGCUCUGUCUUUGGGGACGAUAAUGACGGUACCCAAGGAGGAAGUCACGGCUAACUACGUGCCAGCCGCCGCUGUAA
rnacentral:rRNA from 1 species